UGCAACUGGGAAGCGGCGUGCGACCGGGAAGAAAGCUCAGACACUGUUCCAACCAUGGCCGAUUCGAGCCAUUUCUCAAGGUCUUUGCUUCAAACCCUCCUCUUACAAAAAAAUCUGAGCCAUUUCUCAAGGUAUCUGGAAUUAAUUGGUACUCCAUUAAUCAAAUUCGUCAUUUCCUCCACCAAUUCUUGCAACUCCUUUUAAAUUGACUCUGACUCAUUCGGCUAAAUUUCUCUCUCUCUGUUGGCCUUUUUUAGACUCGCACUUAUCGGUGGAGCUUUGUUCUGAAUGAUUCUUGAAAAGAUCUCUUUUCAUGUCUUGGAUAUGAUUUACAAGCUCAUAAUAUCGUGCAAUGCUUGUGGGAUCUUCGUUUCUUCGGCUAUGGUUGUGAUUGAGCUCGCAAAGAUGGGCCAUCGAAGUGCGUGUUAUUACAUCCAUCGUUUGUCUCCCUCUGUGGAUGACAUCAAGGGUAUGGUAAUCUUCAUUUUUGGUAUUUUAUUAAUCUCUUGGUUUGUAUAUUUUCAAUGCCGAGAAUAUCUUAAAGUUGCUAUGGGAACCUAUCUGUGCACAUUUUCCUUGUUAUGCAAUUGAAUAUAUUGCAUAUAGCUGUGUUGAGAAGAUUUAUUAUGUUGGGAUGUUUGGGAUGUUUCUCUUUUCCAUCAAACAAGUCAGUCUACAUGGGGUCCUGUUUCUCUUUUUUGGCAUGAUAAGGGACAUGAGGAUGCAAAGCGAAUAGUUGAAGCUGUGAAAGGUAAAGGUGCAUCUGCAAUUGGGGCUGCUGGUUUUUGUUGGGGAGGACAACUAUUGCAAGAUCUGAUGAGCCUACGUUAACAAGGCAUCACUAUAACUUGUCAGCUUCGUCGGUUUUGCACCUUAAGACUCCAAUGGCCAUAUUAGGAGCUGAGAUAGACCGUAUAGAACUCCUGAAGCAGUUUGAAGAGAUUCUAACUACCAAAUCCGAGGUGAGAUUGAGAUGAUUCACCUAUGGUUCUCGAAUUCAUGCACUUCUAUUUACUUCCCAAUUGGGAAGUUUGAUUUAUGCGAUCCUCUUGGAGAGUUUGCUUUGCCACAUGGUAGUAGAGAUUAUGUAUGAAUAUAAGACUGUUUCACAUGUUGAUGCUGGAGUGAAGAUAUUUCCAAAAGUUUCCUAUUGGUGGACUGUUAAGUACGAUGUUGCUGAUGAAGAAGCGGUGAAGUGAGCCGAGGAGGCAUAUUUGGAUAUGCUAGAGUGAUUUGCGAAGUUUUUCAAGUGAGGGAAGUGUCUGGCAUGUGACAACUUCUUAUGUAAUAAAGUCGAUGCUGUUUACUUUCUACAUUCUGUGAUUCCAAGAAAAUGAAGAAAGCUUGUGGGGAUUGUGUUUUCUGUUUCUGCAUCUCAACUCGAGUUCUACCAUAAAGAGUAGACGAAAUAGAAUCUCUCCCCAUCAAUGCUUGUAUUCUAUUUAUAAUGGUUUGGUAAUGCUUGAGUAGGACUUAGGAUGAACUUA